UACAGAGGUCUCAAGCGUUGUUCGGAUUCAUUGGGCGUAAAGGGUGCGUAGGCGGCGGCGUAAGUCAGGUGUGAAAUCUCGGAGCUCAACUCCGAAACUGCACUUGAUACUGCGGUGCUCGAGUACUGGAGAGGAGAUUGGAAUUUACGGUGUAGCAGUGAAAUGCGUAGAUAUCGUAAGGAAGACCAGUGGCGAAGGCGGCCUUCUGGACCAGCACUGACACUCAAGCACGAAAGCGUGGGGAGCAAACAGG
rnacentral:rRNA from 1 species